GAUGAACGCUGGCGGCGUGCCUAAUACAUGCAAGUCGAACGAGGUGCUUUUGUAGCAAUACGGAAGUAUCCUAGUGGCGAACGGGUGAGUAACGCGUUGGUGACCUACCCCAAAGUGUGGGAUAACAGUCCGAAAGGAUUGCUAAUACCGCAUGUGGUCAUUGGAUUUAGAAACUGAUGACUAAAGGAGCAAUUCGCUUUGGGAGGGACCUGCGUCCCAUCAGCUAGUUGGUGAGGUAAUGGCUCACCAAGGCUACGACGGGUAGGGGACCUGAGAGGGUGGCCCCCCACAAUGGAACUGAAACACGGUCCAUACACCUACGGGUGGCUG
rnacentral:rRNA from 1 species